UACGAAGGGGGCUAGCGUUGCUCGGAAUCACUGGGCGUAAAGGGAGCGUAGGCGGCAUGGUAAGUCAGAUGUGAAAUCCCGGGGCUCAACCCCGGAACUGCAUCCGAUACUGCCUUGCUUGAGGGUUGGAGAGGUAGCUGGAAUUAUCGGUGUAGCAGUGAAAUGCGUGGAUAUCGAUAGGAACACUCGUGGCGAAAGCGAGCUACUGGACAACAUCUGACGCUGAGGCUCGAAGGCUAGGGGAGCAAAAGGG
rnacentral:rRNA from 1 species